GACGAACGCUGGCGGCGUGCUUAACACAUGCAAGUCGAGCGGUAAGGCCCUUUCGGGGGUACACGAGCGGCGAACGGGUGAGUAACACGUGGGUGACCUGCCCUCAGCUCUGGGAUAAGCCUGGGAAACCGGGUCUAAUACCGGAUAUGACUCCACGGUGCAUGUCGUGGGGUGGAAAGCCUUGUGCGGCUGAGGAUGGGCCCGCGGCCUAUCAGCUUGUUGGUGGGGUGANGGCCUACCAAGGCGACGGACGGGUAGCCGGCCUGAGAGGGCGACCGGCCACACUGGGACUGAGACACGGCCCAGACUCCGUACGGGAGGCAGCAGGUGGGGAAUCUUGCGCAAGUGGGACGAAAGCCUGACGCAGCGACGCCGCGUGAGGGAUGACGGCC
rnacentral:rRNA from 1 species